CCUACGGGCGGCAGCAGUGGGGAAUAUUGGGCAAUGGGCGCAAGCCUGACCCAGCAACGCCGCGUGAAGGAAGAAGGCUUUCGGGUUGUAAACUUCUUUUCUCAGGGACGAAGAAAGUGACGGUACCUGAGGAAUAAGCCACUGCUAACUACGUGCCAGCAGCCGCGGUACUACGUAGGUGGCAAGAGUUAUCCGGAUUUACUGGGUGUAAAGGGCGUGUAGGCGGGACUGCAAGUCAGAUGUGAAAACCACGGGCUCAACCUUGGGCCUGCAUUUGAAACUGUAGUUCUUGAGUUCGGGAGAGGCAGACGGAAUUCCUGGUGUAGCGGUGAAAUGCGUAGAUAUUAGGAGGAACACCAGUGGCGAAGGCGGUCUGCUGGACAGCAACUGACGCUGAGGCGCGAAAGCGUGGGGAGCAAACAGGAUUAGAUACCCGUGUAGUC
rnacentral:rRNA from 1 species